UACGUAGGGGGCAAGCGUUGUCCGGAUUCAUUGGGCGUAAAGAGCUCGUAGGCGGCCUGUCGCGUCGGUUGUGAAAGCUCGGGGCUCAACCUCGAGACGCCGGUGGAAACUGCAAAGCUAGAGUCCGGAAGAGGAGAGUGGAAUUCCUGGUGUAGCGGUGAAAUGCGCAGAUAUCAGGAAGAACACCCGUGGCGAAGGCGGCUCUCUGGGACGGUACUGACGCUGAGACGCGAAAGCGUGGGGAGCGAACAGG
rnacentral:rRNA from 1 species